rnacentral:rRNA from 1 species
CGGAGGUGGCGAGCGUUACUCGGAAUCAUUGGGUGUAAAGGGCAGGUAGGCGGUCUAUUAAGUGAGGGGUGAAAUCUCCCGGCUCAAUCGGGAAACUGCCUUUCAAACUGAUAGACUUGAGUGUGAUAGGGGGAAACGGAAUUAGCAGUGUAAGGGUGAAAUCUGUAGAUAUUGCUAAGAACACCAGCGGCGAAGGCGGUUUCCUGGAUCACAACUGACGCUGAUCUGCGAAAGCUAGGGGAGCAAACAGAAUUAGAUACUCUGGUAGUCCUAGCCGUAAACGAUGAGUACUAGGUGUUGGACCGUAAGGUUCAGUGCCGCAGCUAACGCAUUAAGUACUCCACCUGAGGUCUACGACCGCAAGGUUA